rnacentral:rRNA from 1 species
AUGACUACAAAGAUCAAUGACGAUGAACCUGCUGAUAUUUGGAGAUGGGAGUAUCUUGCUCCGCCGCUUGAGAACUGGGCCGACCAGCCCUGCUCGUCCCAAUGGUUGGUCCACCACAGGUUACGGAUUAAUGCUCAAGUUUGUGAAGAUUCAUUAUUUUUAUUACUUUUUGCCUUACUUUUCACGUUAUUUUUAUGCCAUUUGUACUUGAUUAAUGAGGUAUUUUAUUUAGACAGAAUUACUGAGGUAUUCAGUCCAAAUAUUAUGUGGACCAUUAUCUGA